AUUGAACGCUGGCGGCAUGCUUUACACAUGCAAGUCGAACGGUAACAGGUUAAGCUGACGAGUGGCGAACGGGUGAGUAAUGCAUCGGAACGUGCCCGGUCGUGGGGGAUAACGCAGCGAAAGCUGCGCUAAUACCGCAUACGAUCUAAGGAUGAAAGCGGGGGACCGUAAGGCCUCGCGCGAUCGGAGCGGCCGAUGUCAGAUUAGGUAGUUGGUGGGGUAAAGGCUCACCAAGCCAACGAUCUGUAGCUGGUCUGAGAGGACGACCAGCCCAACGGGGACUGGGACACGGCCCAGACUCCGACGGGAGGCAGCAGUGGGGAAUUUUGGACAAUGGGCGAAAGCCUGAUCCAGCAAUGCCGCGUGCAGGAAGAAGGCCUUCGGGUUGUGAACUGCUUUUGUACGGAGCGAAAAGGUCUCCUCUAAUACAGGGGGCUCAUGACGGUACCGUAAGAAUAAGCACCGGCUAACUACGUGCCAGCCGCCGCCGUAA
rnacentral:rRNA from 1 species